GAGUAGCUGAGAUUACAGGUGCCCACCACCACACCUGGCUGAUUUUUGUUUCUUAGUAGAGACAGGGUUUCACCAUGUUGGCCAGGCUAGUCUCGAACUGACCUCAAGUGAUCCAUCCACCUUGGUCUCCCAAAGUGUUGGGAUUACAGGUGUGAGCCACUGUGCCCAGCCAAGUUAUAUCUCUAAAGCAAUGUGCAAAAAUAAACUGAACUUGGGUUGAUUAGGUAUAUUCAACAUUUGUCGGGAGAGUAGAUGUUUCAUUUUAUUUCAGUCCCUGUGUAAUUUGUCUUCUCUAAUGUUAAAUACUAUGUAGAAUGUGUCUGUGUAAUUUUAUACAUACUUUUAUUAUGGAUGGACAUUCUAAUUUGUACUAUGGGUCUGUGAACUACUUCAAUGUUUGGAGGUUACCAAAAUCUUACCUUUCCCUUUUCUAUUCUAGAAUUUACAUAGUACAUGACGAAGUUAAGGAUAAAGCUUUUGAACUAGAACUCAGCUGGGUUGGUGAAUUAACUAAUGGAAGACAUGAAAUUGUUCCAAAAGAUAUAAGAGAAGAAGCAGAGAAAUAUGCUAAGGAAUCUCUGAAGGAAGAAGAUGAAUCAGAUGAUGAUAAUAUGUAACAUUUACUCCAGCAUCUAUUGUAUUUUAAAUUUCUACUCCAGUCCAAUGUAACUAUUUAGCCCUGGAUUAUACAUACUGUCCAAUUUUCAUUAAAUUUUUGUCUUAUAA
rnacentral:sRNA from 1 species